GCGCGUCUGGUGUGAAAUGCAGGACAGCGGAUGCUGCGCACUCUUCUCCGCGGCGUUUCCGGGACCAGUGUGAACCUAGCGAAGUAGCUUCCAAAUGUGGCCCCAACUUCUGAAUCUCAGAGAUAAAGACAUCAUCAUGAUCGUCAACAUGAACAGGCAAACCAACAGUGACUCCGUGAUUUGCAGAAAGUAAUUAUUAACGGGCUUCAACAACCUCCACCUCUGUCCUCUGACUCCUGCACAUCAUGAGGAGGCAAUUAACAGUUGUUCCCAGAGUCUGUGCCAUGCAGAUGUGCAGACACAUCCACGUGACGGGGACAGAUGUGUACGCACUCGCAGGGUUUGACCACACGCGCCGCGGCGUCGGUGUAGCUGAGGAUGCUCUGACACGUGCACGGCCGCGCUCGCCACACUCUGAGGGACACAUCAACGGAAUUUAAUGAGGGAACAUGUAAUCAUCCCUCCACCUCACCGGGAGAGCUGUUACCUUUUGGUGUGAUAAGAUAUUAAAAAUUCACACUGUUUCUGCAAA